rnacentral:ncRNA from 10 species
UAUCAACAUCAGGAGUGGUUUCAUAGUUGAAACCCACCAACCGAGCCUAGAUAAAUCAGGGAUCCGGUGGUUAGACCUCUAAAUGGUAGAUGUGCCCAGGAAAAUGGGAAACAUAAUAAGCCAC